CAGGAAGAAGCUUGCUUCUCUGCUGACGAGUGGCGGACGGGUGAGUAAUGUCUGGGAAACUGCCUGAUGGAGGGGGAUAACUACUGGAAACGGUAGCUAAUACCGCAUAACGUCGCAAGACCAAAAAGGGGGACCUUCGGGGCCUCUUGCCAUCGGAUGUGCCCAGAUGGGAUUAGCUAGUAGGUGGGGUAACGGCUCACCUAGGCGACGAUCCCUAGCUGGUCUGAGAGGAUGACCAGCCACACUGGAACUGAGACACGGUCCAGACUCCUACGGGAGGCAGCAGUGGGGAAUAUUGCACAAUGGGGCGCAAGCCUGAUGCAGCCAUGCCGCGUGUAUGAAGAAGGCCUUCGGGUUGUAAAGUACUUUCAGCGGGGAGGAAGGGAGUAAAGUUAAUACCUUUGCUCAUUGACGUUACCCGCAGAAGAAGCACCGGCUAACUCCGUGCCAGCAGCCGCGGUAAUACGGAGGGUGCAAGCGUUAAUCGGAAUUACUGGGCGUAAAGCGCACGCAGGCGGUUUGUUAAGUCAGAUGUGAAAUCCCCGGGCUCAACCUGGGAACUGCAUCUGAUACUGGCAAGCUUGAGUCUCGUAGAGGGGGGUAGAAUUCCAGGUGUAGCGGUGAAAUGCGU
rnacentral:rRNA from 1 species